AUUCAGAGUAGAGGCGCAAUCGCAGUGAAGGCAGCCAAUGAAAUAACGCUGCCCGCACUGUUCUCACAAGCUGUGAGAAUAAGUCAUUCCUUAUUUGAAGCGGUCCAAGUGUAUGGUUAGCAAAGAGCAAGAUAAGAAAACUAAAUAUCAAAGACUUCGCAUGGCUGAGCAGUCAGCUGCUUACGGUGAAGAAGAAUUGGUGUCUGAUGAAGCAGAAGAGAGGAACUGGAGAGGAAUUUGUAUUGCCCUUCUAGUUAUUGCCACAAUUUGUACUCUUAUAAUUACCGCUGUAAUCCUUCUAACACCAGGCGAAGAGGAACCGCGAGUGAAAAAUCCUAAAUUUAACUUAGAAGAAGUUUUAACUGGAGACUCUAUACCUAGAAGAUUUAAUGGUUCUUGGAUAUCAGAUAAAGAGGUUUUAUUUCAAGAUGGAGACGGUUUUCUCGUGUUAUAUAAUGCAGAUACGGACACGACAACAAUACUCAUGUCAAAUGCGACAUUCAAACAAUAUAAAGUGGAAAAAUACAGUCUUUCACCAGACAGAAAAUUUAUUUUAAUAGUUAAAGACAUUCAAAAGGUUUUUCGUUAUUCAUAUAAAGCUAAGUUUGGAAUAUAUAGUAUAAUAAAACAACGCGUUUUUUCAUUAAUACCCGAUGAUCCCGAGGCAGAAUUGCAAUACGCUGCUUGGGGAAGGCAAGGCAGCCAAAUGGUUUAUGUAAAAGACAAUAAUGUUUAUUAUUCUCCACUAUUCACCAAACGUGGUGAACCGAGAGUAUUAUCUCAGACUGGAAUGGAUGGUGUAAUAUAUAAUGGAAUACCCGAUUGGUUAUAUGAAGAAGAGAUAUUAAAAAGCAAUAAUGCAAUUUGGUGGUCGGACGACGGUACCCGCUUGAGUUUUGCAUCAUUUGACGAUUCUAUGGUCGAUGUUAUGCAAUAUUCUUGGUACGGAUCCUAUAAAGACUCGUCGAACAUUUAUCCACAAACGAUGGAUCUCAGGUAUCCCAAGCCCGGAAGACCAAAUCCCAUAGUAACUUUAUGGGUUGUGGAUUUAGCCGAGUCCAGUCCAACUCCUAAACUUGUCCAGCCACCGAAAGAAUACAGGGACCAAGAUCGUUACCUAACUUCUGUUCGUUGGCUAGACAAUAAGAAACUGUCCGUUAUUUGGUUGAAACGUUCACAAAAUACGUCCAUUGUAACACUUUGCAGUGCUGUUAAUGGAUGGUUGUGUGAAAAGAAUCUUCAAGAGGACAGCUACGGAUAUGGAUGGGUAGAGAUGUACGAACCUCCACUAUUUACUAUGGAUAAACACCACUAUUUCCUUCGUCUCCCAGUAGCAGAUGGAAAGGCUGGACACUACCGCCAUCUUGCUAUGAUAGAUGUGGAUACAGGCAGGAAGGACUAUCUGACCCAUGGCCGGUAUGACGUCACUCAAAUAUUAUCUCAUCAUCCGGAGAACAGGACAGUGUUCUACAUCGCUACCGUCCGAGGUAAACCGGGAGAGAGGCAUCUUUUUUCUGUCACCGAUGUUACCUCUCAGCUGCCACGUUUAACGACAUGUUACACAUGCGAAAUGGGAGAAGGUUGUUUAUACAAUAAUGCUAUUUUUAGUCCCGAUUCUAAAUAUUACAUUUUAGAAUGCUUGGGCCCCAAAGUACCGAGAAUUGAACUGAGAAGUUCCAGUAACAAUAACUUAAUUAAGGUUUUUGAUGAAAACACUAACGUUCAAGAACUCAUAGAUUCGAGAGCUUUCCCUCAAGUUAGGACGUUUCAUAUUCCAAUUAAAAACGGAUUCAAAGCUAACGUUAGAAUGCUUCUACCUCCCGGAUUGAGAGAUGAAGAAAUUCUUAAAUAUCCGGUGGUCGUGAAGGCCGAUGGUAGUCCUGGCGGUCAGUCCGUAUCUGAACAAUUUGAAUUACAUUGGGGAUCGUACUUAGCUAGUAAGAAGGAUUACGUAUACGUGACGAUCGAUGGAAGAGGAAGCGGUUUUCAAGGAGAUAAAAGAUUGCACGAAGUGUAUCGUCAACUAGGAAAUUUAGAAAUGGAAGAUUAUAUAUCUGUUAUGAGUUACUUGAAACAUAAUUUACCCUUUAUCGACGGAGACAGAAUGUGUAUUUGGGGUUGGUCUUAUGGAGGUUAUGCUGCGGCAAUGGUUUUAGCGAGAGAUAACGAACUUUUUCAAUGUGGAAUCUCAGUAGCACCUAUCACAAGUUGGUUUUAUUAUGAUUCUUUUUACACCGAGAGGUAUAUGCAGUCUCCGAAACCAGAAGAUAAUUAUUUGGGUUACGAAAAAGGUGACUUAAUAAGAAAAGCGGCAGAUUUCAGGAAAAAAAAAUACUUAAUAAUUCAUGGAACAGCUGACGGUUAGUUUUUUAUGGAUAAAAUUCACCUUCAACAUUCCAUGAUGAUGAUAAAGAGCCUUAUUGAAUCGAAUGUCCUUUUUCGAACUCAGAUGUAUCCCGACGAGACGAACAAUUUAGAAAAUGUUCAAAUUCAUUUAUAUCGAACUAUGGA
rnacentral:misc_RNA from 1 species